AUUGAACGCUGGCGGCAGGCCUAACACAUGCAAGUCGAGCGGAUGAAGGGAGCUUGCUCCUGGAUUCAGCGGCGGACGGGUGAGUAAUGCCUAGGAAUCUGCCUGGUAGUGGGGGAUAACGUCCGGAAACGGGUGCUAAUACCGCAUACGUCCUGAGGGAGAAAGUGGGGGAUCUUCGGACCUCACGCUAUCAGAUGAGCCUAGGUCGGAUUAGCUAGUUGGUGGGGUAAAGGCCUACCAAGGCGACGAUCCGUAACUGGUCCGAGAGGAUGAUCAGUCACACUGGAACUGAGACACGGUCCAGACUCCUACGGGAGGCAGCAGUGGGGAAUAUUGGACAAAGGGCGAAAGCCUGAUCCAGCCAUGCCGCGUGUGUGAAGAAGGUCUUCGGAUUGUAAAGCACUUUAAGUUGGGAGGAAGGGCAGUAAGUUAAUACCUUGCUGUUUUGACGUUACCAACAGAAUAAGCACCGGCUAACUUCGUG
rnacentral:rRNA from 1 species